rnacentral:tRNA from 1 species
GUGUUCGUAGCUUAGUGCAAAGCCCCUCCCUGUGAAGGAGGAAGUCGUCGGGUCGUAUCCGUCCGUCCACCCCA